rnacentral:piRNA from 1 species
UGCUCAAACAUUGACCUUGAUGCCAGG